CCAUCAGAAACAGCUGAGUUCUACCAUGCUAGCGGGACUGUGAGGAAGGACCUGUGCUGCUGAAGGGAGCGCCAUCUACUCCAAUUUUAUGUUCAG
rnacentral:lncRNA from 13 species